CAACCCUCAGUUCCCCCCUUCCGGGGGGUGAGCUGGUGUUGGGGAUCGGCCGUCCCUCGCGGCGGCCGGCCCUUAAAUUCAGUGGCGGCACCACCGCGAACUCCUCUGCGUAGUAGCUAUACCUCGCAGGCGGAUAGCGGAGGCGACCAGCCGUGAAACCCCCAUCUUUUACAA
rnacentral:misc_RNA from 1 species